UAGUCCACGCCGUAAACGAUGAUCACUCGCUGUAUGCAAUACACCGUAUGCGGCCAAGCGAAAGCAUUAAGUGAUCCACCUGGGGAGUACGAUCGCAAGAUUGAAACUCAAAGGAAUUGACGGGGGCCCGCACAAGCGGAGGAACAUGUGGUUUAAUUCGAUGAUACGCGAGGAACCUUACCUGGGCUUAAAUGUAGAGUGUAUGAGUGGGAAACCAUUCUUUCCUUCGGGACUCUUUACAAGGUGCUGCAUGGUUGUCGUCAGCUCGUGCCGUGAGGUGUCGGGUUAAGUCCCAUAACGAGCGCAACCCUUAUCCUUAGUUGCCAUCGAGUCAUGUCGGGGACUCUAAGGAGACUGCCAGUGUAAACUGUGAGGAAGGUGGGGAUGACGUCAAAUCAGCACGGCCCUUAUGUCCAGGGCUACACACGUGUUACAAUGGUCGAUACAAUGGGCAGCUACCUAGCGAUAGGAUGCUAAUCUCCAAAGUCGAU
rnacentral:rRNA from 1 species